rnacentral:lncRNA from 10 species
AUGCAGAAGCUGCUGCGCGGAAGUCGGCCAUGGACUGGAAAGAAGUUCUUCGUCGGCGCCUAGCGACGCCCAACACCUGUCCAAACAGUAGAGAAACAGUGAUUAUGAGGCUGAAACUCCAUGAGGUCAGGGGCUGGGGCUGUCUUGCUCACCCCUCAUUCCGUGUCUACUACAGCGUUCUCUGUACAUAAAAAAAAAAGUGAACAAGAAUUAAAAGAUGAAGAAAUGGAUUUAUUUACAAAAUAUUACUCCGAAUGGAAAGGAGGUAGAAAAAACACAAAUGAAUUCUAUAAGACCAUUCCCCGGUUUUAUUAUAGGCUGCCUGCUGAAGAUGAAGUCUUACUACAGAAAUUAAGAGAGGAAUCAAGAGCUGUCUUUCUACAAAGAAAAAGCAGAGAACUGUUAGAUAAUGAAGAAUUACAGAACUUAUGGUUUUUGCUGGACAAACACCAGACACCACCUAUGAUUGGAGAGGAAGC